CAACUCCUUCAACGAAAAAGUUGGUUAUAGGUUCUGUUUUAACAGGCUUUAAAGUUGUAUGCUCUGCAGGCUGCUUUGCCAAACCAAAACAUAGUAUCAAUUUCUUUGUUUCUAGUGAGGCUUUGCAAGCUCUGCCUGAAUAAAAAUCUUUCUUAAG
rnacentral:misc_RNA from 1 species